rnacentral:hammerhead_ribozyme from 1 species
GCACUGCUGACGAGUUUCAAACAGGACGAAACAGCUGUCCAGUGC